rnacentral:rRNA from 1 species
UACGGGGGGGGCAAGCGUUGUUCGGAAUUACUGGGCGUAAAGGGCUCGUAGGCGGCCAACUAAGUCGGACGUGAAAUCCCUCGGCUUAACCUGGGAACUGCAUCCGAUACUGGAUGGCUUGAAUCCGGGAGAGGGAUGCAGAAUUCCAGGUGUAGCGGUGAAAUGCGUAGAUAUCUGGAGGAAUACCGGUGGCGAAGGCGGCAUCCUGGACCGGCAUUGACGCUGAGGAGCGAAAGCUAGGGGAGCAAACGGG